AUGCACAGAAGAGAAGUUUCCAGGUUGGGAUCAAGAAACCAAGAUGAUUAAAUCAACACAGAAUAUCAUGUGUAACAAUGAAAGUGAUGACAAGACCAUCUUCUCAAACUGUAUCCUGAGCAAGGGAAAUCCCGGGAUGGGGACAGCAGGGAUACAUGCAGAUGAUAGAAGAUGGUUUCAGGAGUUCAGGAACCAAGAAAUAAAUCAAUAACAAUAACAAUAACAACACCACCAACAGCACCCCUAACCUGUAGAGCCUCAACAUAAGCAAGACCUAAGAUAGACUAAAAGGCAUCACGUUGUUCUUCCCGAGCCACAGCAGGUAUGUGUUUGCCCAGCCACCCGUCUCCUGAGUCAGGAAAAUGGCCAGAUCUAAACAAACAAAACAAACAAGACUGAAAAAAACCCCUAAAGAUUCAAAGACAAGGGCUUGAUGGUUCAAAUCUGAAAUGGAAAGAGCAGAAAUGUCGUAACUGAGAGAGGAAAAGGAGAUUGUUACCAGAACAUGGACGGGUCUUGCAGAGGAGGCAGGUUCCCUGAAUUCUGAGCUCACUGCUGAGCUCACGGCUUCUCCCGCCUGGCUUUGUGGCUCUAGUGGUGGGGUUGCCCAGUGUGUUUCCUUUUCCUUGCUUAUAGAACAAGAGGAUGGGAAUAAAUGAAUUCUAAGAUCCUCACCACACUUAAAGAUUUCCGUAAGGAUAUAGAGAGUAUAAACUGAAUUCAGUUCUCAUGACAAGUUCAAAGUGAAUUCGCUACUCAGGAUGUAAGAAUGAGGUUUCUGUCUGUUGGUCAUUUACUUAUUUCCCUUCUUUUUUUUUUUUCUUUUUUCUUUUUCCCUUCUUUUUUUAGAUCGCCAACCCACUCCUGAUCUGUCUAGGUUCACAAAAAAUAUCUGUUACAUCUGGUUCCUCAGAACCUUUCUAGAAUGUCAUAUUGUCGUCAUAACUUCUCUCCCAAUUUCAAUAAGAAUGGGCACAUUUUGAAUCAUUAAAGGCCAUAAUGUCCAAAGUUUGUACAUAUUCUGCCUAUUUUGCUCCUGUCUAGCUGCAUCUUGAGAUGCCAGGGCCCUUGGUUUCCUUGGCUCUGUGGGUGCUACCUUUUGGGAAAUACAGUACCCAAAGGAUUUAAACAGUGUCUGUUUAAAGUUGCAUUGGGAAGGGUGGAGGAAAUAGGUGAAGGUGGCUCGAAGGUACAAACUUCCGGUUAUAAGAAAAACAAGUCAUUGGAAUGUCAUGUACAGGAUGGAGACUAUAGCUAACAACACUGUAUUGUAUAUUUGCUAAGAGAGCUUGAAAGUUCUCAUCACAAGGAAACAAAAAAUGUGCAACUAUGUGCGGUGAUGGAUGUGAACUAAACCAAUUGUGGUAAUCAUUUCGUCAUAUACUUAAAUCAUUCCACGAUACACCCUAAACUUAUACAGUGUUGUAUGUCGCAUAUAUCUCGAUAAAGCUAAGGGAAAAUCAGGUUGAUUGUGCAAUAGACUGUUGCUUGAUACCUUCAGCUACCGUGAUAAACAUCAAAUGAAAAGCGGGAGGCGCACGCUGCCUCGUGUCUACUACCGAGUCGAGCGCUGUCUCUCUUGUUCAGUGUAAUUGGGCAGCAACACAGCUGAUAAACCAAAGGACAGAAAAGUCAUUUCAGCCUGCCAAUUAAACACGGUGCGGCACUGACUUUGUAUACCUAGGGUGCUAAUGUGAUCCCAAGGAAUCAGAAAAGUGGGACCCCUCUGCUUUGUAUAGGUUCCAAGAGAAAGACAAGUUAUUUAAGAAUAUUGUCAAACCUUCCAUGAAAAUACACCCUUAAGAAGAUUGAAGAAGAGGCCCUGCGGCCAGAAGGGGCAAAUCAACAAGAGUGGAGUUAGAGAAAGAUGCUAGAAGGCAAGAGUCAGAUGACAAGACUGAGCAGCACAGGGGAAAGUCCUGCUAAGUUUUAGACAACAAUCUUGGUCAAGUUACAUUUGAAUUGCUGAUGAGCUGCCACAUAGAAGAUGCCGCAGAGAUAACCGACAGUUAAGAUUCCACAGGAUGAAGAGAUCUGGGGUGGACAGUCGGAUGGGGGACCUACAAACGGAGGGCAGAUGAUAGAAUUUGAGUACAGGUGAUCAAUAAAAAAAGUGGGUAGUAGACCACAGUAGAAUCUAUUUUCUAAAAAAAUUAACACGAGCAAGAAAGCAAAGGCUUCAAGGCUAUGUCUACACUAAACUCACAAGUGACGUUGAACAGCCCAGAACAUCUUUUAGUGUUCACCGCCAUCCUGAAACCUGGAGCUCCCCAAGAAGUUUUUGAAACGGAUGCGCCAUCUGCAUUCCAGGUAGGGUAUUUUUGUGAUGGGUCCUGUUUACUUUGUGUUUUGAUUCUUUUCUAGUAUAUCCACUAGAGUGGGUUCUGGUACUCCAUUUGAUCUUUGGCUUCUGAAAUAUGAGCUUUCUAAUAAGUUUAAGCUUGUACAUGACCUGUCUUGAACUUGGAAAAAUUGUGAGGAAACCCUGGGAAGGGCAGUGUCAUUAAGAAAAUUCCAGGAGAGAGACUCAAGGGCAAGGAGAGUCUCAGCUAGAAAAAUCUACCCCUAGUUGGAUGAGGAUAAAGGGAGAAUAGAGGCAGUUAGUAUAAUUCGUAAGAAGCCAAAUGCAAACUUUAAUU
rnacentral:lncRNA from 1 species